rnacentral:lncRNA from 1 species
UGACUCUCUUUUCCUUCUGAACUAUACAUAAUUAGUAUCUUAUCUGCCCACCAUAGAUUGAUGAGGAAGACUGCUAGAACUUUUGUUUGCAAGAAAGUUAACUCCAGUCAAACAAAGUCCCAUAUUCACCCAUCGCACUAGGAUAGCUUGCAUCUAUUAGUAGUAAGCUUUUCCACUGUUGAAAGAAAUCUCCGACCCAAAACAUACUCAUUAGCAGUCCCUGUUCAAGAUGAACACUUUUAUGCUUACAAUAUGCUCAUGAAGUUUGAGUUUGUGUGCAUUUGGAUAAUGGUUGGAUAAUGCAGCUAUUAGUGAAAUAGAAACCAGCCUGUCAAGCUACAAAUCUAUCUGUGCAAAUUCACCUGGUUAUCCAAUUUGGGCUGUGGCAGAGAACUAUAGGUUUGAACCUGCACUUGUAGAGGUAAUUGUUUCAAAUAUCUGAUUUGAGUUGAUGUUCGAGAUAGUAAGAUACUGUACGUUCCAAUAUACUUGCUAUUGCUUUCACAGAGCAAGAAAUUAGUGGCUGAUAUUGGGAAAAUGAUGAGCGUCCAACUUAUAAUUGAAGCAUCAAUGAAUAGUGCAAACCCUUACUUCUCAAGCUCUUGGCGGCGGAAUUACACGGUUUGUGCUGAUAAUAUAACUGAGUUAUAUUACUCAGAAUUUUUUACUGAUUCUUAAAAGCAUUUGUUAAUGUGCAUAUGUUUUCAACUUCUAUGGCCCAAGCUACUUAUCUAUGUUAUAAUCGAGAAAUAUACCCUGAAAUAUGAGAGGAGUAGUUUUAUCUUUCUAGAUAUGAGAUGCUCCUUUACUACUUGAUUUACCAUACUUGAGCCAUUUGCCGUUGCUAUUAUUGACCAGUGCAUCUUCUGUUUUGGCAGGGGGGUUUCAUUCUAGAUAUGGGAGUGCACUUCAUUGCAGGACUGAGAAUGGUAAUCUCUCAUUUUAAAUAUACCUUAUUGAUAAAUAGUGACAUUGGUUCCUGCUAUCCUUAUUAAAAGAUGAUGUUCUGCUACUACAAUAUCACAGGCUUCCUCAGUGUAUAUUUUUUAUAAAAUAUCACAGACUUCAUAUGGUCUUCUGAAUUUUGCGCUAGCAAUGUGUAACACUACAGUUUUAUUGUUAAUUGCACUUCUCCUUUCACCUCUUUGUCUCUAACUUCUCAUUCCUCCAUUUUAACACUGUUGCAGUUAAUUUUGUCCUAGAGUUAAGUCAUUCACACAAUUAUAGUUUUCCAAAAUCUUGUUCCUAUAUCAAGAAUAAGUUCUUAUAUCCUUUGCAUGCUUUUAAUUCUGGACACACCACAAAUGUUAUAUCAGUAGUAUUUCUGUGUGUAAAUAGAGCUUGUAUAAUUGAGGCCACCUAAGCCUUGUUAAAUGGGUAUUAGGCUUGCAUGUUAAUCAGAACUUGUAUAAUUGAGGCUACCUAAGGUUUUUCAAAUGGGUAUUAGGCUUGCAUGUUAAUCACUAUUUAUUGCUCUCUGAGAUCCAGCUUUGACCUCUAAAUUAUGCAUUUCUAUUCAAUUGAACAGCUUGUUGGAUGUGAGGUGACAUCAGUGUCAGCUAUGACCUCUCAUGUGGAUACAACUUUGCCUCCACCCGAUAACUUAUCCUCAGUUUUGUAAGUUUCUUAUGCAUGAAGUUGAUUUUCAACCAAAUCAUUUCCUGAUACUGUUGGAAGCAUAAAAUUCACUGCAUGAACUUUUCCUAUUUUAGUCACCUGGAGAAUGGAUGUUCUGGAGUUUUUGCAAUGGUUGUAUCCUCCAAAUCACCCAAGGCAAGUGGUAAAUUGAUGGUUUUACUUCAAACUUGAUAAAUAAAUUAUUCUUUCUCAUUUCUUUUAAUUCGUUUAGAUAUUAUGGAGAAUUGUUGGCAUAAACGGAACAGUGGAAAUUGGGCGUGGAAACCAAGAUGGACAGCAUGGUUACUCGGUAUGCCAAAACCCAAUAUGUUGUAGUCAAUUAGAUCUUCAUCGGCUGCAAAAGUCUUGGGAUCUUAGUUUGUUUGAGCUUGAGCUAUCUAGCUAAAUUUUAAAUUUCAAAAUAAUUGAUUUCUUACCUUUAACUUGUAGCAUUUAUAUUUGAGAAGUAACCUUCAUUUGAUAUCUUACAAUGUUGUGGCAGAUUUCUUUUUAUGGAGCUGGUGGACACUGUAAAAGCAACUUCUACCCAUUUAGUGGAGUGACCGCUGAACUGAAGGCAUUUUUACAUGACAUUUCACAGGCCAACCUUAAGGUAAUAUAAGAUGACAAGCUCCUGCGUGCAUUGUCACGGUUCGCUUCAAACAUAAACCAUAAGCAUGGUAGUCUUCACAUUUAGCUUUUUAUUAUUAGUCUUAAUGUGCUUUGAGUGGAGAUUACCUUCAGUUCGGUUGUUUUGUUCGACAUUAGAGGAAUUUGACUCAUUUGAUUGGCAAAAAAACAUUCUGUUAGUUGGAAAUUCAGAUCUUACUGUUCAUUUAUUAACCCUUGUUGCCUUCUUUCGUCAACAACAGCCUGAUCUCUCGGGUAACUGUUGUUAGAUUACUAAAAUUUCCAUUUCUUUAACUAAACAGGAAUUAAAAUUUAAUGAUUCUGCUAGAAUGCUACUUGCUUUAACUAAUGCAUUCAAUUAAAUACCUUUUUAUCUGUCACAGAAGGGAAGUAGCUACGAAGUUGAGCCUCGACUCUCUUUUAUUGAAGGAGCCAGAGAUGUUGCAGUUUUAGACGCAAUGCUUGAAUCUGGAAACAAGAAUGGAGCACUAGUUCAGGUGAAAAAGUUUUAAGGACCAAUUUCAUCAUGUUUCACGCAGCUAAAAACACUUCUGAGACCUAGCAAACAGAAGGGCAAGGAAAGGAGAUAUUGUUGAAAUGCUAUGGAGAAAUUUACAGUUUUUAAGAUGAAUGUAUCCUUAUUAUGAUAGUACAUAUUUCUUAAGAAUAAUCAGUGCGUAUGCUAGAGAGGGGAAAAUUGCAUGAGUACUGUUUAAACUGAUGUAUUGAAUCAAAAUAAUGCUGCAGACUCGUUUACAUAUGUAUUUGGGAGCUUCCCUCAGAUUAGGCUACGAGUGGGUUUGCUCUUUACUUUAUCAACUAGGGUUCAAAUCUAAAAUGAGGCCUCGAGAAAGAAAUUUACUGUAAAAUGCACUAGUAUGAGCAUGGAUAGCAUGUCUAGAACCUUAUUGGGAAGAGACUUGUCUCAGUAUGCGAAGAUUAAUCCGAAGAUGCUAAGACUUCAAACGAGAAAGAAGAUAGUUUCUAUCAUGGUGUGGAAGUUGAAUCCCCCCGACUGCACUCUGUACCGUUUUUUUUUAUCUUCUA